rnacentral:rRNA from 1 species
AUAUCAAUAAGCAGAGGAAAAGAAACCAACAGGGAUUGCUUUAGUAACAGCAAGUAAAGCGGCAACAGCUCAAAUUUAAAAUCUGGCUUAGGCCUAAGUUGUGAUUUGCAGAGGAAGCUUCUAGUACAGCACUAUCCAAGUCCCCUAAAACAAGGCACUAUAGAGGGUAAGAGCCCCAUAUAGUCAAAUGCCUAGCCUGUGUAAAGCUCCUUUAACAAGUCAAGUAGUUUGGGAAUACUGCUCUAAAUAGGAGGUAAAUUCCUUCUAAAGCUAAAUAUUAGCCAGAGACCGAUAGCGCACAAGUA